rnacentral:rRNA from 1 species
CGGAGGGAGCGAGCGUUGUCCGAAGUUACUGGGCGUAAAGCGCGCGUAGGCGGGGAAUUAAGUGAGAAGUGAAAGGCUGGGGCUUAACCCCAUGCAGUGCUUCUCAUACUGGUUCUCUUGAGGGUGGUAGAGAGAAGUGGAAUGGCUGGUGUAGCGGUGAAAUGCGUAGAUAUCAGUCGGAACACCAGUGGCGAAGGCGGCUUCUUGGGCCAUUUCUGACGCUGAGGCGCGAAAGCUAGGGGAGCGAACGGGAUUAGAUACCCCGGUAGUCCUAGCCGUAAACGAUGGAUACUAGGUGUCGGGGGUAUCGACCCCUCCGGUGCCGCAGCUAACGCACUAAGUAUCCCGCCUGGGGAGUACGGCCGCAAGGUUG